AGAGAAAUGGAAUAGAACAAGCACGAAGAUCCACCCUGGAACACCUCAUCUCAAACACCUUGCAAUGACUUGAAUUACUUCCAAGGAGUUGGACUGGGUGGCCCUUGUGGCCAUUUCCAGCUCUAUGAUUCUGGGUUUGUUGGUUUAAAAUCCUCAGACAAAAACAAAUGCAAGUAAGUAUCAUUGGUCAUAUCAGCGUCUAAACAACAACACUGUGACUG
rnacentral:lncRNA from 1 species